rnacentral:tRNA from 1 species
UCCCUGGUGGGCUAGCAGUUAAGGAUCCAGCAUUGUCACUGCUGUGGCUCAGGUUCGAUCCCUGGCCUGGGAA